rnacentral:rRNA from 1 species
GGACCGAAAAGACAUAGCCAAUGCUCUUCCAAGCUAUCCCCACCAACUUAUGACCCAAACUUAAUAAUAAAAUAGUUCAACCCUUAGGCUAAGAAAAAGGCA